rnacentral:RNase_P_RNA from 1 species
AGCAUACCGCCCGGCUUCGGACGGGUAAGGUCGAAAGGGUGCGGCAAGAGCGCACCGCGCGUCCGGCAACGGAGGCGGCACGGUAAACCCCACCGGGUGCAAGACCGAAUAGGGGCGGCAUAUGAGCGAUUUCCGGCUCGUCGCCCGGGUUGGUCGCUUGACCCCCGACGCAAGUCUGGGGCUAGAGGAAUGGUCGCUUUCCCCGCGAGGGGUGGACAGAACCCGGCUUACAGGCCCUCUGGCAAU